UGUUAGUAAUGGAGGGGAGAGAGACCCCGAUGAUUUCCUCAGCUGUCCUCACUACCCGUUGUAGGGUCUUACGAUCCAAGGCGGUACAAUUCCCGAACCAAGCACUGAUGCUUGAGAGUACCCCAGCUCAGGGUACUCUCAAUGAGCCCUCUGUAGAAUGUGGUGAGGAUGAGGGUGUGGGAGAUGGGCUUUCCUCAGUCUGUGCAGAAAGUAGAGAUGCUGCUCCGUGCCUUCCUGAAGUCAACAAUGAUUUCUUUCGUUUAGUCCACGUUCAGAGACAGGUUGUUGGCUCCGCACCAGUCUGUUAGCCGCUGCACCUCCUGUCUGUAAGCUGACUCAUUGUUCCUGCUGAUGAAACCCACUACAGUCGUGUCAUCAGUGAACUUGAUAAUGUGAUUUGAGCUGGGCAUCACUGCACAGUCGUGUGUCAGCAGGGUGAACAGCAGUGGACUGAGCACACAGCACUGGGGUGCCCCCGUGCUCAGUGUGAUGGUGUUGGAGAUGCUGUUCCCAAUCCAGACUGACUGAGGACUCCCAGUCAGGAAGACCAGGAUCCAGUUACAGAGGGAGGUAUUCUGGCCCAGCAGACUCAGCUUUCCAAUCAGGUGCUGAGGAAUGAUAGUGUCAUUGAGAGCUAAUUGCUACUGAAAUGAGGCAUGUCUCAGAAUGGAUCUGAAGUCACCCAGACAGUCGGUCUCUGGUUCACACAGACUCUGCAUUUAUAUAAAAAAAACUCCUCCGCAGAAUGUAUCCUUCCUGUUAUUGCUGCCCCCAUCUUUUCUCUUGUGAUAAAGCCACACAGCAGCAGAUUUCGUUUCCUCCAAAGUCUGUUUUCGCUGCUCAGACACAACGGCUCCAGCCAGCUUCUUCAAGCUGGGUACAUCUGCAGAGUAUUCUUUAGCCAAGUUUCCUGUGUUGGGGUGGGGCGGGGGGGUGCUCUGGUGAGAGUGUAGUCAUGUCAUGAAUGACGAUCAGGACUGAGAGUGAGAGGAGCUGGCUUAGGGACAACGGGAAACUCUUUCAUAUCCCUGAUCAAGAAAAAUAAAGGCCGACUUGUGGGUUAUUCUGAACUCUUGUGUUUUAACUGAGCUGAGAAUCGGUUUGAAUAUUGGCUUAAAAUUGGUGAAUGUUUGCUCAGUAACAGCUUAACACUUCGGGAAGUGGGAACUAUGAUGAGAAGCAAAAAAAUCUUCAGAACCCUGAUCUUGAACUAAGGGAAAUGACACAGACGUUAACUGAACUCUGCAAAUACUGUGGAUUGGAAAAUGCCUAGAAUAAGGGCAUUCUGAAAUCUUUGCAUUCAUUCACAGGAUGAGGGUGUCGCUGGCUAGACAAACGUUUAUUGCCCAUCGCUGAUUGAGGUUGGGAGUUAACCACAUGGCUGUAGGUCUGGAGUCACAUGUAGGCCAGACCAGAAUUUGGAUGUCACUGGAUGGGCCAGCAUUUAUUG